ensembl:lncRNA
UACUGUGAGGGUUUCUGAGGGUUUUAACUCCCGGCGCCUCUCGCUGCACAGCCUUUUAACACCAGAAGUCGUUCUUUAGCAAACUACCUAGCUACUGAACGUGGCACGCAGACCGUCCACGAACAAAGUAGUUCCCAGAGAACACCCGGUGAGCAGACUUUCGCACGGAACGUUGUUCCGCCACCAUGAGAACGCAGCCUCCGCUUCCCGUCUCAUCCUGCACCUCCGACACUCCGAGGCAUUGACUCUGCCCACGCGCAGCUCCGCACGGUCACUCCAGCAUCCCCUACCGACUGCAACAAUGCAAAGAGCUCGGGUCGGGAGUGGGCUGCACUAGGCGCCUCCCCGACUCGCCCCGGGAACAGCAGCCAGCCAGGCGGACGGACGGACGAACGGGCCGGCCCCGCCGCACGCACAAAGCCUCGGGUCGCACCUACCAGGCGGGCAGCCUCGGCCCAGUUCCAGGUCCGGUUCCAGGUGGGGGCGAGGCCCCCUCAACAAGAAAUGUCGGGUGCUCUUCCAUCGCAUUGGUCUCCAACAAACCCAAGGCAGCCGGCCAAUACAAGUUUGAAUCACGUCUUCUAUCUGCUAUGGCUCCCUUGUAUGGAAGGGCAAGGUGACAUCAUGACUGUGGACCAGGUCAAGGUCCCUGUUGCUGUGAAUUUGUUGAAGAGACAUUACAUUCAGCAUUUUUUAUUUAAUCAGUAUUCUAAAUAUUAAUUAGUUAAGCAAUCUAGUUAAUGAACUAAAUAGUACAUUAUUUUGGAGAUACCAUAAUUGCAUUAUGGUCAAGGUUGGUUUAGUAGUGUACAACUGUAAGAUUACUUAAGAUAUCAACAAAUAGAAGAAAAUAGAAUGUCAUUCCUAUUGCUACAAAAAAGGAAAUUCCUAGUCUUAAUAUUUCUGGAUUUUCUUAUAUAUUCCUACUGCUGACAACAUUGCUGCUUUCUUUUCUUUCUUUUUCAUAAUCCCUUGGGAUAAUUGUAUAAUUAUUUUGCACAUAAUUAUUGUUGUGCAAAAUAUUUACACAUAGACUAAUUUGGACUAUAAGUCUUCUGAGGUUUCCAACUGAUAUUAAUCCAAAGUUUUAGUUUAAAUAAAGCAAGAAAUUGUACCUUAAGCCAUAUGAGGUAAUUUGUGAAUAAACUAAUAUGUGAUAAUAGAGAGGAGUUUUUAAAUCUGACAGUCCAUCCACCUUAAUAAACCAUUAAGUUACAGGAAUUAGUGUACGAAUUAGUGUAUCAAAACCAAAAUGAGAAAUAUUUGUAGUUAUAUCUUAUCAUUACAGCACAACUAAUGUAUUUAGUGUAUUGCCUGCAUAGGUUUUUCUUUUAAGUAAUUUUUAUUUUGUAAUUGUUUUCAAUAUUAUAUCUAUUUUGCAUCUUUUGUAUUUUAUGAUUUAAAUCCUCAUAGGGCUUAUUGUUAAUAGGUAUGAUAAAAGUGUUGAACAUAACAAACAAAUUAAGUAUUUUUAAACUAUUACUUCAAUGUAUUUGUCGAUAACGAUUUAUAUCAGCAAUAAUGAUACUUUUAAAAGUAAGAAGCAAUGAUCUAACAUUCAUUGCUUCUAUUAUAUAAUUCUUUUCCUAAAAUUCUGAGAUUACAAAAGUAUAAGAAGAAAACUGUAAGGUAUUUUGUAAGAAGGUAUACAUCAGGUAGUAAAGGUUUGUAGGCUGUAGGUUGUAUAGGUCCAAACAACUGUUCAUUAGGUUACUCAGGCAAUAGAGGGAGAUGAGAUUAUCCAUUAAAAAUAUAUUACUUUUACAACUCCUGGCUUUGUCUUGUCUACUCAUUUGUAUUUCAGAAUUAUUUUUUCUGCUGUUUUCAGCAAUAAUGCCACCAUUAUUUGUGCUAACUCAUAACUAUUAAAAACCAGAAGA